rnacentral:sRNA from 1 species
CUAAAAAGUAUCCUUAAGAACUGCUUGACACUUAGGAAACUAUGUAAAUAAAAAUCAUUAAAACUGGAAAGUAACUUAAAGAAUCAAAUUCACAUCUAGGAGAUAAUAUAAAAAGAAAAUACAAGCACAACAGAUUAUUUAUGUUUAGAAAUUAACUAUACUCAUGUGUACAAUCAAGUUGAUCAUGUUAUGUGAAACAUUGUGCAGAAUCCAAUGAGGUAAUAGAGUAUGGAGCACCAAAAUAAAGUCAACCCAGAAACUGAGACAUACAAGUGAAACAUGAUAGUUUUUUUAAACCAUCCUACAGAAAUGAAGGUUAUUCUGUCCUGGCCCAAACCUUCUAAGAGCCAGAAUGGGAUGACAGAGGCGAAGGAUCAGAAUCAAUCGAGGUAAGUCUGGAGUGCAUACAACAUGACCACGCUGUCAUUUGUCGCUGCUUACACUUAUUACAGGGAUCAUUGAUAUUUGCAUACAGUGGAAGACACAGUUUCAGAUGUACACAUACAUGUUUGUCAAUACAUAAAUAUGGCUAUGGGUAUUCAAUAUGAAUAGAGGAUUACAGUCUUAACCGUUUACAUUACAACCAAUGGUGUGCUACUCAAAGUACCAUAUCACAAAUCUAAAGCAUUCAAAGAAAAUGAUGUCAGGGUAAAUCAAAGUCAUAAAUAACAAAAGAGAAACAUAAUGAAGUAACAUUGUAGGUCAGUCAAAGAGUACACCAGGAACCUAAUACUCUUAUGAACAUUUAGCAAAUAUAGAAAUCUGACAUGGUAUAAGACUAUGAAAAAAUCUACACAUUUUUUUGUUAAAACUGACCUAUAUAUUUAGAUCUCUCAAUAGAUUUUAGGGGGUUGAGUCUCAACAU